UACGAAGGGGGCUAGCGUUGUUCGGAAUUACUGGGCGUAAAGCGCACGUAGGCGGAUAUUUAAGUCAGGGGUGAAAUCCCAGAGCUCAACUCUGGAACUGCCUUUGAUACUGGGUAUCUUGAGUAUGGAAGAGGUAAGUGGAAUUGCGAGUGUAGAGGUGAAAUUCGUAGAUAUUCGCAGGAACACCAGUGGCGAAGGCGGCUUACUGGUCCAUUACUGGACGCUGAGGUG
rnacentral:rRNA from 1 species